CGGCCUAAUCGCCUCAGAGGCCAUCGUCUUCCUCGAGCCGCCGCCGUUUCUCGGCUCCGCCUCCUCAGCUCCCCUGACCUCAUCCGGGUCCGGCGGGAGUCGCUGAUCAGAUGCGGCGUGCGGGUCUUUUCUCAACGGCGGGGCUAAGAGUCCGUAUAGGAGUAGAUGUGGAAGCCAUGGCGGUUACCCGGCGCAAUUCGUAUCCGUUAUCUCAGGAGAGAAGCCAAGUUUGGAGGCCGAGGGUUUGCCAAUGAUGCCCCGGAGCUGAACUCCGACAACGGGAGCUUGUUCAGAGGUGGAAGCAGCCACGUUGGGGAGAAACGCAAUCCAGUCUUUGCAGGCGCUCCGGAGGAAGCUGGGUCUGAUUUGGGGCAGAAAACUGAAGGACAGUUCAAACCCGAUGCCCAUUCUGCAGUAAAAUCGUGCUCUGGUAUUGGGAGUCUGGUUAUAUCCAAGUGCGCUCACAUAUUUGAGAGUAGAGGGGACACCUUUGAUGGCAACUGCAGCUUGCAAGAUGUUCUUAAGCCUGGUUUGUGGCUCUCAUCGGAGACCCUUCGCCGGUUCUGGCGCGUCUCUGAGCUGAAGCCUGAUGAUUUUCUUGACAUAUUGAUUGGUUUUGGGUCUAGCCCGGGACAAGUGAGGAAGGCGAGGUUUUUAUGGAAUUUGUACAGGUGGGCUUCACAGCAAAGCAAGGAGUUCCAACAUCUGCCAAGGUCAAAUGAGACCAUGGUAGCCAUACUUGUGGAUGCUCAUAUGCUCAGUCUGGCUGAAUCACUACUGCUCUCAUUGCAUCAUCAUAUGGCUCUGGCUGUUUCAAGUGAACUAUUCAGUCGGAUUAUCCAAGCGUAUUCAGAAGCAAGCAACCUCGAGAAAUCAGUUGCACUUUACGAUUAUGCAAGGUGUAAGUGUUUGAUUCCUUCAGUUUCAUGCUACCAAGCACUUCUUCAUUUUCUGAUCAGAAAGAGAAAGGAUGAAUUGCUUUUAAGAGUAUAUUUGGACAUGCUUGAAGCUGGGUUCGGUUCUUACACCAAAGGAGACAUUCUUGAUUCUGUUGUCAUGGCUUUAAUCAAGAAAGACAAUUUUUUGCAAGCUCUUGCUAUACUUCGGCAACUAAAGAGUUUGGGUCUUAAAUUAAGCAAGGGAUCCUUAUCAUUUAUAGUAGAAGAAUUUAACAAGAAACAGGAUAUUGGGGAUAUGAUGAACUUUUUGGAAGAGUGGAGAUGUUUACCUGAGUUGCGUCUUUGCAACAGAAUCCUUGCGUCUUCAUGCACAAAUCUCAGUACUGAUCAGGCAUGGUUGGUCUUCCAAAGAUUGGAGGCCUUAGGGUUUUCUCCAGAUGCUACUACUUUUGGAAUUUUCAUAUUUCAUAGCUUUAGAGAAAUGAAACUUAAAUCUGCAUUCGUAUAUUUAUCAGAGUGCUUUUCUAGACAUAUUAAACCUAGAGUGUGUGCUUAUAAUGCUAUUUUAGGUGGCGUUUUCAGGGAGGGACUGUACAGACAUGCAAAGUAUGUCUUUGAAGAUAUGGUUGAAAGAAAAGUAACGCCUAAUGUUUCAACAUAUAAGAUAAUUCUGGCAGGAUAUUGCUGGUAUAGACAGUUUGAUGAUAUUGAACGAGUCUUGAGGGAUAUGAAAACCAAUGGUGUAAAUGAUCUUCCCUCUGGAAACUGUGCACUCUCUAAGACCUUAUCAUUCUUGGGGCUAGAUCACCUAGGAGUGAAAAUUAAGAGAGAUAAUGCCACUGGUUUCCCGAAAGCUGAGUUUUUUGAUUCGGUUGGCAACGGUCUUUAUUUGGACACUGACUCAAAAAAGUUUGAGAUUUCAUUGGCACAGAUUUUGGAUACUGCAGUUCAACCAGAUGUUAACUCAGAGCUAGUCAGUGCAUCUCAGCAAGGCAAUGUUGCAAGUGCUCUUCUCGUGAAAGAUGAAGCUUUUCAAUGGGGAUAUGCCAUUUCACCAGCUAGCUGCGCAGAAUUAUUCAAGGCCUUAUGUGUGAGCCCUGCAUAUAUAAUAGAUGCCAUUGACCUUAUGGAGGAGAUGCCAGCUAUAUUUGACAACUUUGGUGCUCAAAACCUUAAUUUAUUUAUCCAAACCUUGAGUAGGAAUGGGAUGUCAGCUCAUGCAAGACUGAUUUUUAAAAAAAUGGUCAGAGAAGGCUUGUCAAUCAGUCAAGAUACAUAUACUUAUUUGAUGAUAGGUUUCUGCAGAGAAAGAAACAUAGCAGGGUUUUGGGAAUGUUGGAAUCUUGCAACAAAUUAUAGGUGGUCACCUGAUAGCAAGGAUAUGAUGGCCCUCACCAGUUGCUUGUGCAAAUGGGGAGUAAUUGAGGAAGCCCUGAAGCUUAUGAACCCGUUAUUUGACUGUUAUCCUGAUCUAUUUUUCAGUGCAUAUUAUACACUUCUCGAAGAAUUGUGCAGGACAGGUUUUACCAGUGUUGGAUGUGCAAUGUUGGAGGCUCUCAAAGAAAAGGGAAUGGUUGUGGAUCGCUCAAUGCUCUUUUGUGUGAUGGAGGGCUUCCUAAAGGAGCAGAAGACUGCCGAAUCAAUUGGAAUGUAUGACAUGUGGCUUUACAAAUGCAAAGAACUAGAUGCAUUUACUUUCAGUGCUAUAUUGCCUUCACUGCCAUUGCUUGAUACGGACCGAGCCAAGAACUUGGUAGAAUCUAUACUGAACAUGGAAUUUACUGAAUUCUCAUAUUGCAGUUGCAUUUUGAAGGAAUUAGUGCAAACAGGAAAUAUGAAGCGGGUAAUGCCAGUCUUGCAAGAAUCAACUCCUGGGAAGUUCAGUGGCACCUUGUUAAAUUCUUUAAUUCAAGCAUAUGGUUGUCUAAAAAAUUGGAGAAUGUUAGAUGCAGUUCUUUGCAUGAUGCUGAAGAUGCAUGCCGACCUUUCUAUAUCUAGCUAUCGCUUCCUUGUCUGUAGAAUGUGUGAGCAAAGUCGGUUUUCUAGUGCAUCAAGCCUUAGGACACUGUUCCAACAUAGUGACAAGUCAAGAAAGCUAAUUUCAUGCAAUAUUCUAAUAUUUUAUCUUUUUCAGAGAAGGAACACCUCACAGGUUCAUGAUUUAUUGAAGGACAUGGAAUGUAAUGGUAUUUCUCCAGACAGAACGACCUAUGACUUCCUUGUUUAUGGAUUUCACAAGUCUGGAGAUGCCAAUAGUUCAGUUUGUAUGCUUGAUGCCUGUAUUGCUCAGGGAAUACAACCAAGCAACCGCGGUCUUAGAAUAGUGUUGAGUCAUUACUGCAGGCUAGGAAACCUUGACAAAUCACUAGCAUUAUUUCACUUGAUUGAGAGCAGUGGAUGGAAGCAUGGUUCUAUCAUUAGGACCAUCCUCACUUCAUGUCUCCUUUCAUCUGGGAGACAUUUGGAAGCAAAAUUAUGUCUGAACAACCUGAGCAAAAGUGAGUUUAUCGGAUCGUACACCAAUUUUGAUGACCUCAUCAAGAAAUUUUGCAUACUAGGAGACUUGAAAACGUCUCUUAAUCUGCUAGAUACAAUGUUAAAGAAAGGCAAACUACCUAGUGAAGUCAGUUACAAUUCUGUUAUAUACAGGCUGUGUAUAUUAAAAGAAUUUGACCAGGCACUUGAUUUUCUUGUGGAAAUGCAUUUUACAAACCUAACACCAAGUGAGACCUCCUGUGAUGCACUUGUACACGGCCUUUGUGCCACAGGAAGAACUUGUGAUGCUAGGAAGAUUUUGCAAAUGCUAAUCACCUUGGGAUCUGCACCAUCCUAUGGCAUGUAUAGAGUUGUUCUUGAUAGCUAUCACAGAAGUAAUAAUCUACAGAAGGCUACGGCACUUUUGCAUGACAUGCAACAAGCAGGGCAUGUACCCAACUUUGAGAUGCAUUGGUCGAUUAUAAGCAAUUUCAGCAGUACCAAUGAGAAAGCUGAAGGGCAUGGAGAGCCCAUUUUGCCAAACCUUUUCCUUAAUCCCCCAUAAUAGUCAUAAUUUGACAUGUGGUUUUAAGAAAAUGGUGAACUGAUGACUAUUGUCAAGUUGAACCCUGUGGAACUGACAACACUCAGUGAAACCAAGCUUAUGCAACACUGCAACUCUAAUGUGCUACUCGGGGAAUGAAGGUUCAUAGAAAUGCAAGAGUACGCUGGAGAAACAAUGUAUCUUUGAUUUGAAGUAUCAAAAGAGAGAAUCAGAUCAGAUCAUUACUUGCCACCACAACCUUCUUCUCUGCGACUUAGCUUACAGAGUGUGCCCCUGCUAAAGGGAUCAUGCAAAGGUGAUAGCAUGAUCUAUCUUACAAAUGAAAACAGUAAUAUUGAAAAAUUUUCUUUUCAUUAUUGGCAUGGACAUAAAGUACGUAGACUACUUUUUGUGUUGAUCAAGACAACAGUGAUAUUUAUCACUUCAGCAAAGCUGAAGCUACAUGUUCGACCUUCAGCACCUCUGUAAAAGCGGAACAAUGGCAAGACUUAUACAUUGAGCCUCUUACAGAUCUCUGUCUGUUCAUUAUAGUUGAUCAUAACAAAUUGCAUUCCUGGAUGCAUCCUGGCAAAUUGAUGUACCUCUGUGGACAUUUGACAAAAAGGUACUAUAUAUCGACAUUUGACAAAAAGUAGGGAAAUUACCUUCUUGGGAUCUUUUGGUACAGCUCUGGUGAUCUGCCAACCAGUUGCGGCAACCUUUUCUCUGGGCAAGAAUUGCUCCCCCUUGAUCCCAUUGUGGUUCCAAGUCAAUACCUUGAAGCAAAAAUCAGUUCCAUUGCUCGUGUGUCCACGACAAGAUGAACGACCAACAACCCAAUGGGUUGUCAAAGCUGAAGCCAUCGACAUCAUUAAACUGGAAACAGAAAGGAAUAUGUAACAAAUCGUGCUUCAUGAAAAAUACUACAGAAAGAGCACAGCAUGCCUCAAACUAACUGGACAAGCUCUACAGAAUCUGGAAAUCUUCUGAUGUUGAAGUGGGGAUGGCCGUACUGAGGUAUUGAUAGCUGAAGAUACUGCUGUUUCAGAAGCUAAGUACACCUAAUCCUAGCUACGAAACCUGCUUUUUUUUUUGAACUUUCCAGUUCAAUGUUUUACCACUCUGCCUAUAAAAAAAUGUUUAUCACUCUCAAAAGUGGUUCUGUUGGCUCAUCCAAAUGCACACAGUGACAUAGGUACUGUCAGAAUUUUUGUAUCUUUUUUGGUGUAAUCUUCAUGCAUUGUGGAUAUAUGAAUGAUGUGUAAAUGAUAUUUCUA